AGUGAACGCUGGCGGUAGGCCUAACACAUGCAAGUCGAACGGCAGCACAGUAAGAGCUUGCUCUUACGGGUGGCGAGUGGCGGACGGAUGAGGAAUGCAUCGGAAUCUACUUUUUCGUGGGGGAUAACGUAGGGAAACUUACGCUAAUACCGCAUACGACCUACGGGUGAAAGCAGGGGAUCUUCGGACCUUGCGCGAUUGAAUGAGCCGAUGUCGGAUUAGCUAGUUGGCGGGGUAAAGGCCCACCAAGGCGACGAUCCGUAGCUGGUCUGGGAGGAUGAUCAGCCACACUGGAACUGAGACACGGUCCAGACUCCUACGGGAGGCAGCAGUGGGGAAUAUUGGACAAUGGGCGCAAGCCUGAUCCAGCCAUACCGCGUGGGUGAAGAAGGCCUUCGGGUUGUAAAGCCCUUUUGUUGGGAAAGAAAAGCAGCAGGUUAAUACCCCGCUGUUCUGACGGUACCCAAAGAAUAAGCACCGGCUAACUUCGUG
rnacentral:rRNA from 1 species